GCUCAGAGAGUGCCUGUUAGAAAAAAUCAUCUAGAGGCGACUCGUGGGCCAGGAUCAGCACUCAAAGAGACGCCUCUGAACAAAUGGACACCGCAGAGAGUCCGCAACCCCAGGCACCAGCCCAUGUCUGCUAUGAAAUGGCACCACUCAUCACAACAGUCGCCUUACGGCACUCCCGGAUUCAAAAGCUGCAAAAG